rnacentral:rRNA from 1 species
UACAGAGGGGGCAAGCGUUGUUCGGAAUUACUGGGCGUAAAGGGCGCGUAGGCGGCCCGCUAAGUCGAACGUGAAAUCCCCGAGCUCAACUCGGGAACUGCGUCCGAGACUGGCGGGCUUGAAUCCGGGAGAGGGAUGCGGAAUUCCAGGUGUAGCGGUGAAAUGCGUAGAUAUCUGGAGGAACACCGGUGGCGAAGGCGACUACCUGGCCUGUUCUUGACGCUGAGGCGCGAAAGCUAGGGGAGCAAACGGG